rnacentral:rRNA from 1 species
UACGUAGGGUGCGAGCGUUAAUCGGAAUUACUGGGCGUAAAGCGUGCGUAGGCGGUCCGCGAAGUCUGAUGUGAAAUCCCCGGGCUCAACCCGGGAACUGCGUCCGAUACUGCAGGCUUGAAUCCGGGAGAGGGAUGCGGAAUUCCAGGUGUAGCGGUGAAAUGCGUAGAUAUCUGGAGGAACACCGGUGGCGAAGGCGGUCUCC